rnacentral:tRNA from 1 species
GGCCUCCUACAGAAACGGUGGUCCGGUUCCGCGGGCUUCAAACCCGUGAUCGUGCAAGCGAUGAGAGUUCGAUUCUCUUAGGAGGCCGCCA